rnacentral:misc_RNA from 1 species
GUGAAUCAUCGAAUCUUUGAACGCACAUUGCGCCCGCUGGUACUCCGGCGGGCACGCCUGUCCGAGCGUCAUUUCAACCCUCAAGCCCUCCCUUCGGGGACCGGGCCUGGUGUUGGGGACCGGCCGCCUCCUCCGGCGGCCGACCCCGAAAUACAGUGGCGGUCACGCCGCGUAUCCCUUGCGUAGUAGAAACACCUCGCACCGGAGAGCGACGCGGUCCACGCCGUAAAACCCCCAAUUUUUAAUGGUUGACCUCGGAUCAGGUGGGAAUACCCGCUGAACUUAAGCAUAUCAAUAAGC